CCUGAUGACGCAACGCCGCGUGGAGGAUGAAGGUCUUCGGAUUGUAAACUCCUGUUGCCCGGGACGAAAUGCUCCAACCUAAUACGUUGGAGUUUGACGGUACCGGGUGAGGAAGCCCCGGCUAACUCUGUGCCAGCAGCCGCGGUAAUACAGAGGGGGCAAGCGUUGUUCGGAAUUACUGGGCGUAAAGGGCGCGUAGGCGGCCUUCUAAGUCGAACGUGAAAUCCCCGGGCUCAACCCGGGAACUGCGUCCGAGACUGGGAGACUAGAAUCCGGGAGAGGGAUGUGGAAUUCCAGGUGUAGCGGUGAAAUGCGUAGAUAUCUGGAGGAACAUCGGUGGCGAAGGCGGCAUCCUGGACCGGUAUUGACGCUGAGGCGCGAAAGCCAGGGGAGCAAACGGGAUUAGAUACCCCGGUAGUCCUGGCCCUAAACGAUGAAUGCUUGGUGUGGCGGGUAUCGAUCCCUGCCGUGCCGAAGCUAACGCAUUAAGCAUUCCGCCUGGGGAGUACGGUCGCAAGGCUG
rnacentral:rRNA from 1 species